rnacentral:rRNA from 1 species
CCUACGGGGGGCAGCAGUGGGGAAUAUUGGACAAUGGGGGGAACCCUGAUCCAGCCAUGCCGCGUGUGUGAAGAAGGCCCUCGGGUUGUAAAGCACUUUCAGUGAGGAAGAACGCCUGGUGGUUAAUACCCAUCAGGAAAGACAUCACUCACAGAAGAAGCACCGGCUAACUCCGUGCCAGCAGCCGCGGUAAUACGGAGGGUGCGAGCGUUAAUCGGAAUUACUGGGCGUAAAGCGCGCGUAGGUGGCGUGAUAAGCCGGUUGUGAAAGCCCCGGGCUCAACCUGGGAACGGCAUCCGGAACUGUCAAGCUAGAGUGCAGGAGAGGAAGGUAGAAUUCCCGGUGUAGCGGUGAAAUGCGUAGAGAUCGGGAGGAAUACCAGUGGCGAAGGCGGCCUUCUGGACUGACACUGACACUGAGGUGCGAAAGCGUGGGUAGCAAACAGGAUUAGAUACCCGUGUAGUC